rnacentral:lncRNA from 1 species
AACGUGCUACGCUGCCUUGAAAACAGCUUCCUGCUCUGCCCAGGUGACCCUACAGUUGCCACCUUCUUAUGCAACAGCCCAGGCUGGAGGAAGCUUUAGACACUCCUGAGCACCACCAGCGUGAGGACUCCGUGUGCUGUUACUUCUUGGUAACGGAAGCUGGUUGCUUCGCGGUCCACGUAAGGUGCCUGUUCCACAAUAAAUCUACACGGACCAGACUGAAGUUGAGUCCAGGGAACCAAGAAGCCAAGAAGCACUCAGUACUUCCGGCGGUCGUUCUGGACACUCAGUGGAUUCAACAAAGUCAAAGGCAGAAGAGUCUCUGACACCCGUAUGACAAAGGCAAGCGGGUGCUCAUAUCUGGUGAAGUACGGAGGUCUUGCUGAGCUAAUGAUAUCUAGGUACUUUUAUUGGGGCAAACUUCUCCGUGAGCUGAGGAAUUGCUUUCAAUGAUGCUGCUCACGGCAGACACAGCCCCGUGAUUCUGAAUAGAAAGGGAGGGCAACUGGUUAUCACACCGAGAGGGAGCAAGGCGUUUGGCAGAGAGCUAUGGAUUCCAG